GACAUCAUAGGUUGCAUGUUCACGGAGUGUAGUUUUUUUUGGAUUAGUUAGUUUGUAUGUUUUCGGUCUGUCAGAUUUUUGGGGGUUCCUUAAGUUUCAGCAUCAUUAGUGCUUAAAAUGGUUAACAUCAGUGAUGGUUCUUCUUCUGCUUCUACUAAUUUUGUUCCUGACCCGUCAAGCCCCUUGUUUCUUAUGUCGUCCGAUGUACCCGGAGUUUCUUUGGUUACCAAUCCGUUUUCAGGGAUUGGUUUUGCCAAGCCCCUUGUUUCUUAUGUCGGCGAUGUACCCGG
rnacentral:lncRNA from 1 species